AGAACACCAGGCAGCCAUCUUGGGGCUGAAGAGACAUCAGAGAGAAGAAGUCGGCCAACUUCAGGAGGAGUCAGUGCUGAAAACAGUGAAGCUGAAAGAGGAGCACGUCAAUGUGAUCCAGCAGUUAGAACAGACCAUUGAGGACCUGCGGACUAAGAUAGCUGAGCUGGAGGAACAGCACCCCUGCUGGACAGAGAUAUUAUUAGCAUUAAGGAGCCGGAGGCUAGUGUGGAGGGGGUCUGUACCGGGAGGUCUGUCAUGUAGACCUACAGACUGAAGAGAGGAUGGUGAAGGAGGUCUGUCAUGUAGACCUACAGACUGAAGAGAGGAUGGUGAAGGAGGUCUGUCAUGUAGACCUACAGACUGAAGAGAGGAUGGUGAAGGAGGUCUGUCAUGUAGACCUACAGACUGAAGAGAGGAUGGUGAAGGAGGUUUGUCAUGUAGACCAACAGACUGACUGUCUCCUGAGUUGUCUGGAGGCCAAGUCUGUCCAGACGUCGCCUAUGGAGGAAAGCUAUAAGUUUAAAGUGCCUUUACCGGACCAGAUGCCACCCUUGUUUGUGAACGAGGCUGGAGGAGAGUCCUCUUUGUCUUCCUCCUGUCCCCUGAAACUCCCCCCAGAACUGGCCCUGUCCCUACCCAUACCCUUCUCCCCCAAGGUCGCACCAGCAUUUGUCUGUACGUGCCAACAGCAGCAGAGUGGCAUUAAACCUCCCCCACCACCUCCUUUACCUGGUCACUCCAUGGCUCCUCCUCCACCACCACCUCUACCAGGGGGUGCAAUGCCCCCACCACCUCCACCACCACCUCUACCAGGGGGUGCAAUGCCCCCACCACCUCCACCACCUCCUCUACCAGGGGGUGCAAUGCCUCCACCACCUCCUCCACCUCCUCUACCAGGG
ensembl:lncRNA